rnacentral:rRNA from 1 species
AUUGAACGCUGGCGGCAUGCCUUACACAUGCAAGUCGAACGGUAACAGGUCUUCGGAUGCUGACGAGUGGCGAACGGGUGAGUAAUACAUCGGAACGUGCCUAGUAGUGGGGGAUAACUACUCGAAAGAGUGGCUAAUACCGCAUGAGAUCUACGGAUGAAAGCAGGGGAUCGCAAGACCUUGUGCUACUAGAGCGGCCGAUGGCAGAUUAGGUAGUUGGUGGGAUAAAAGCUUACCAAGCCGACGAUCUGUAGCUGGUCUGAGAGGACGAUCAGCCACACUGGGACUGAGACACGGCCCAGACUCCUACGGGAGUCAGCAGUGGGGAAUUUUGGACAAUGGGCGCAAGCCUGAUCCAGCAAUGCGGCGUGCAGGAUGAAGGCCUUCGGGUUGUAAACUGCUUUUGUACGGAACGAAAAGCCCUGGGUUAAUACCCUGGGGUCAUGACGGUACCGUAAGAAUAAGCACCGGCUAACUACGUGCCAGCCGCCGCAGUAAAAC